rnacentral:rRNA from 1 species
GACGAACGCUGGCGGCGUGCUUAACACAUGCAAGUCGAACGGACAGGCCCUGCUUUUGUGGGGUGCUCGUGUGGCGAACGGGUGAGUAACACGUGAGUAACCUGCCCUUGACUUUGGGAUAACUUCAGGAAACUGGGGCUCAUACCGGAUAGGAGCUCCUGCUGCAUGGUGGGGGUUGGAAAGUUUCGGCUGUUGGGGAUGGACUCGCGGCUUAUCAGCUUGUUGGUGGGGUAGUGGCUUACCAAGGCUUUGACGGGUAGCCGGCCUGAGAGGGUGACCGGCGACAUUGGGCCUGAGAUACGGCCCAGACGCGUACGGGAGGCAGCAGGGGGGAAUAUUACACAAUGGGCGGAAGCGUGAGGCAGAAACGCCGCGUGCGUGAUGACGGCCUUCGGGUGGUAAACCGCUUUCGCCGGUGACGAAGCGUUAGUGACGGUAAUGGGUAAAGAAGCACCGGCUAACUACGUG